UUUCUAAUACAGGCCUUUAACUUUUUAUUCCAAAGUACAAUGCACACACAUUGGAAAAAUAGUAUCAAAAUAUAUAUACAAAAAUAACAACUGUUUGCACUGGACUGAUUUCAUAAAAAUACAAAGAGUGGGCAGUUCAGAGAGAGUUUUGUUAUAGGUUACAACUGAAGAGCUGGGACACGUGAAAUAUCCAAGUGGAUAUUCAGUUACCAUGACGACUAAAGAACAGUGGAUAAAAUCCAUUGUUGCCCUGCAGAUGGGGCCCAAUUCCCUACUGCCCUAUGAUUUACACCUGGGGAAAAUGGGUGAGCCACUCUCUAUGGUGCAUAGUCUUAUACUUUAUCCCCUUUGAGGGCCAGGGUGUCUGGGGCUGGCCAGCCCUGUUCAGUUAUCAGACCCAGCUGGGAAGGGGGAAGGUGAUCCUUAUGAAAAGGCUGAGAAAACUGCUGAGGAGAGCUGUUGUGGGCCCUGAAGGGAAGGGUGAGUCCUUCUUUCCCCCUAGAGAGGGAAGGGGAAAGUCUAUGGGAGUUACAGCACAGGAUGGGCAGAGGAACUGCUUUUGGUUUUGAUAUUUUGCCUAUAUUUUACCUGCAGGGGAGAGACUUGAGUGUGGCAGUGGGUCCUUCCUGAGGAGGUCAGGAAAUCAAAACUAAGUGAAGGGAAACUGAGGCAGCAGAGAGCUUGAAGCCAGAGCAGAAUUUACCACUCCCCGUCAUUAAGGGAAGUUUGCUCCUUGACCUAAGAAUACAGCUCAGAAGCAAGUGUCUUCCCCUGAGGUCUCAUGGGUGGAUCUGCCUGAAGUACCUUCCUGUGAUACAGCGAUAAGACAUCUGUCUUAUUGAAUAACAUCAAUCAAACCUUAACCAUGCCAUGUCAGAAAGUGUGGAUUGUGACUGACUCAUCAACACAUCUUGCGCAGAGUUUGCUUCUCCAGUCCCAAGAAGUGCCUAGAUCUGGGAUCUACGUCAGGACCCUUUGGUGCAAGGUGCUGUACAUACAAACAGU